rnacentral:rRNA from 1 species
UUGAUACUGCAGGUCUUGAGUCAUGGUGGGGUUGCCGGAACAUGUGGUGUAGCGGUGAAAUGCAUAGAUAUCACAUAGAACACCGAUCGCGAAGGCAGGUGACCAACCAUGUACUGACGCUGAUGGACGAAAGCGUGGGUAGCGAACGGGAUUAGAUACCCCGGUAGUCCACGCCGUAAACGAUGGAUACUAGCUGUGGGGACUUCGGUCUCCGUGGCCAAGCGAAAGUGAUAAGUAUCCCACCUGGGGAGUACGUUCGCAAGAAUGAAACUCAAAGGAAUUGACGGGGGCCCGCACAAGCGGUGGAGCAUGUGGUUUAAUUCGAUGAUACGCGAGGAACCUUACCAGGGCUUAAAUGCAGGCUGCAUGGGGUAGAGAUACCCCUUUCUUCGGACCGCCUGCAAGGUGCUGCAUGGUUGUCGUCAGCUCGUGCCGUGAGGUGUCAGGUUAAGUCCUAUAACGAGCGCAACCCCUACCGUUAGUUGCCAGCAUGUCAAGAUGGGGACUCUAACGGGACUGCCGGUGCAAACCGUGAGGAAGGUGGGGACGACGUCAAAUCAUCACGGCCCUUACGUCCUGGGCUACACACGUGCUACAAUGGCCGGUACAGAGGGAAGCCACCCCGCAAGGGGGCGCGGAUCUACAAAACCGGUCACAGUUCGGAUCGGGGUCUGCAACUCGACCCCGUGAAGCUGGAAUCGCUAGUAAUCGGAUAUCAGCCAUGAUCCGGUGAAUACGUUCCCGGGCCUUGUACACACCGCCCGUCAAGCCAUGGAAGCCGGGAGUGCCUGAAGUCCGUCACCGAGAGGAGCG